rnacentral:rRNA from 1 species
AUUGAAGAGUUUGAUCAUGGCUCAGAUUGAACGCUGGCGGCAGGCCUAACACAUGCAAGUCGAGCGGAAACGAGUUAUCUGAACCUUCGGGGAACGAUAAAGGCGUCGAGCGGCGGACGGGUGAGUAAUGCCUAGGAAAUUGCCCUGAUGUGGGGGAUAACCAUUGGAAACGAUGGCUAAUACCGCAUAAUGCCUACGGGCCAAAGAGGGGGACCUUCGGGCCUCUCGCGUCAGGAUAUGCCUAGGUGGGAUUAGCUAGUUGGUGAGGUAAUGGCUCACCAAGGCGACGAUCCCUAGCUGGUCUGAGAGGAUGAUCAGCCACACUGGAACUGAGACACGGUCCAGACUCCUACGGGAGGCAGCAGUGGGGAAUAUUGCACAAUGGGCGCAAGCCUGAUGCAGCCAUGCCGCGUGUGUGAAGAAGGCCUUCGGGUUGUAAAGCACUUUCAGUCGUGAGGAAGGUAGUGUAGUUAAUAGCUGCAUUAUUGACGUUAGCGACAGAAGAAGCACCGGCUAACUCCGUGCCAGCAGCCGCGGUAAUACGGAGGGUGCGAGCGUUAAUCGGAAUUACUGGGCGUAAAGCGCAUGCAGGUGGUUUGUUAAGUCAGAUGUGAAAGCCCGGGGCUCAACCUCGGAAUAGCAUUUGAAACUGGCAGACUAGAGUACUGUAGAGGGGGGUAGAAUUUCAGGUGUAGCGGUGAAAUGCGUAGAGAUCUGAAGGAAUACCGGUGGCGAAGGCGGCCCCCUGGACAGAUACUGACACUCAGAUGCGAAAGCGUGGGGAGCAAACAGGAUUAGAUACCCUGGUAGUCCACGCCGUAAACGAUGUCUACUUGGAGGUUGUGGCCUUGAGCCGUGGCUUUCGGAGCUAACGCGUUAAGUAGACCGCCUGGGGAGUACGGUCGCAAGAUUAAAACUCAAAUGAAUUGACGGGGGCCCGCACAAGCGGUGGAGCAUGUGGUUUAAUUCGAUGCAACGCGAAGAACCUUACCUACUCUUGACAUCCAGAGAACUUUCCAGAGAUGGAUUGGUGCCUUCGGGAACUCUGAGACAGGUGCUGCAUGGCUGUCGUCAGCUCGUGUUGUGAAAUGUUGGGUUAAGUCCCGCAACGAGCGCAACCCUUAUCCUUGUUUGCCAGCGAGUAAUGUCGGGAACUCCAGGGAGACUGCCGGUGAUAAACCGGAGGAAGGUGGGGACGACGUCAAGUCAUCAUGGCCCUUACGAGUAGGGCUACACACGUGCUACAAUGGCGCAUACAGAGGGCAGCAAGCUAGCGAUAGUGAGCGAAUCCCAAAAAGUGCGUCGUAGUCCGGAUUGGAGUCUGCAACUCGACUCCAUGAAGUCGGAAUCGCUAGUAAUCGUGGAUCAGAAUGCCACGGUGAAUACGUUCCCGGGCCUUGUACACACCGCCCGUCACACCAUGGGAGUGGGCUGCAAAAGAAGUAGGUAGUUUAACCUUCGGGAGGACGCUUACCACUUUGUGGUUCAUGACUGGGGUGAAGUCGUAACAAGGUAGCGCUAGGGGAACCUGGCGCUGGAUCACCU